rnacentral:rRNA from 1 species
UCGAGCGGAACGAAGAGGAGCUUGCUCCUUUGGCGUCGAGCGGCGGACGGGUGAGUAAUGCUUGGGAAUGUGCCUUAUGGUGGGGGACAACAGUUGGAAACGACUGCUAAUACCGCAUAAUGUCUUCGGACCAAAGUGGGGGACCUUCGGGCCUCACGCCAUAAGAUCAGCCCAAGUGGGAUUAGCUAGUUGGUAAGGUAAUGGCUUACCAAGGCGACGAUCCCUAGCUGGUUUGAGAGGAUGAUCAGCCACACUGGGACUGAGACACGGCCCAGACUCCUACGGGAGGCAGCAGUGGGGAAUAUUGCACAAUGGGCGCAAGCCUGAUGCAGCCAUGCCGCGUGUGUGAAGAAGGCCUUCGGGUUGUAAAGCACUUUCAGUAAGGAGGAAAGGUUAAGUGUUAAUAGCACUUAGCUGUGACGUUACUUACAGAAGAAGCACCGGCUAACUCCGUGCCAGCAGCCGCGGUAAUACGGAGGGUGCGAGCGUUAAUCGGAAUUACUGGGCGUAAAGCGUACGCAGGCGGUUUGUUAAGCGAGAUGUGAAAGCCCCGGGCUCAACCUGGGAACUGCAUUUCGAACUGGCAAACUAGAGUGUGAUAGAGGGUGGUAGAAUUUCAGGUGUAGCGGUGAAAUGCGUAGAGAUCUGAAGGAAUACCGAUGGCGAAGGCAGCCACCUGGGUCAACACUGACGCUCAUGUACGAAAGCGUGGGAGCAAACAGGAUUAGAUACCCUGGUAGUCCACGCCGUAAACGAUGUCUACUAGAAGCUCGACUCUUCGGAGUUGUUUUUCAAAGCUA